rnacentral:rRNA from 1 species
AACGAACGCUGGCGGCAUGCCUAACACAUGCAAGUCGAACGAAGGCUUCGGCCUUAGUGGCGCACGGGUGAGUAACACGUGGGAACCUGCCUUUCGGUUCGGAAUAACGUUUGGAAACGAACGCUAACACCGGAUACGCCCUUCGGGGGAAAGUUUACGCCGAGAGAGGGGCCCGCGUCCGAUUAGGUAGUUGGUGGGGUAACGGCCCACCAAGCCGACGAUCGGUAGCUGGUCUGAGAGGAUGAUCAGCCACACUGGGACUGAGACACGGCCCAGACUCCUACGGGAGGCAGCAGUGGGGAAUAUUGGACAAUGGGCGGAAGCCUGAUCCAGCAAUGCCGCGUGAGUGAUGAAGGCCUUAGGGUUGUAAAGCUCUUUCGCACGCGACGAUGAUGACGGUAGCGUGAGAAGAAGCCCCGGCUAACUUCGUGCCAGCCGCCGCGGUAACAC